UGGGGGUUUAAGCAUUGUGUCACCUCAGAGAAUAUGGAUGUUACCUCAGAGAGUAUGGGGAAGCUUUUUGAGAACUACAAGACAGUAUAGGACUAUAAGGUAUUUUAGACUGCUCCCAUGUUUAAAUCCCAGGUUUUGCAGUCUGGGAAGGCUGUUUGGAAGGGGCAGUGGGGCAGGUGACACCAGCUUGGGUUGUGCUAGGACCAGCACUCCCCUGGGGUGACACCCACUGGCUGUGUGAGAUCAGCUAUGUCUCAGAGCCCAGGGACCACUCAGAAUAAGCCCCUCCUUUAUUAUGCAGAUGAGCUCACAGAGAGAUAGGGAGCCUGAGGUUAUGUGGUGCCUUCCCUGGUACCAUGUGAGGACUGGCAACACGGAUCCUUGUCAUGGUGAAAAAAUGACUGUGGAAGACGGUUAUAGCAAUGGCUCCCAAUCAAGACGCCUCCUUGUUUCCACAUCAUUGUGUAGUCCCUGCCCACACUGGCUCUGGGCUUGACCAUGAGAUUUGUUUUGGCCAAUGGAACAUCAGCACAUGUGAUACAAGCAGAGGUUUGACAGGCACUGGUGCAUCGGGGCUUGCUCCCUCUUGCUGCUGGGACCCCUUCUGCUAUCACAGGAAGAAGUCUGGGCUAGUCUACUGGAAGGUGAGACCAGGGGGAGCAAAGACAAGUCAGGCCUGCUGAGUUCCACUAGUUCCCAGUUAUUCUCAACCAAAGGACAACUUGGUCCUCCAGGGAAGAUCUGGUAAUGACUGGAGAUAUUUUUGGCUGUCCUACUGGCAUCUAGUGGGCAGAGGUCAGAGAUGCUGCUACACAUCUUAUAAUGUGCGGGACAGUCCCCCCAUAACAAAGAGUUACCCGGUCCCAAAUGUCAGCAGUGCUGAGGUUGAAAAACCUGCCCAUGAGCAACCAACCCACAGCUGACCUCCCAGCUGACUGCAGCCCUGUGAGUGAACCCAGUCUGUGAGGCUGAGACCUGGAGGAUCAGGAGGAGUUCAUCGAGGGUAGGGUGCAGAGCAUGCUGAAUGGCCUGUGCAGGGGCUGGAGGAGAGACAGCAUGGGCUCAAUGCAAGUGGUUCAGCAGCAGCUCAAAGGCCAUGAGCAGAAUCUGGAAAGGCAAGAGAGGAGGCCAGAGAAGCGAGCAGGGGCCAGAACUCCAGACGAAUUCAACUGCUU
rnacentral:lncRNA from 1 species